CCCCCCCCCCCCCCCCCCCCCCCCCCCCCCCCCCCCCCCCCUCGCCGCAGGAAACAGAGGGGAUCGAGCUCCGGCCGCGGCCACUGAAGAAAACGGCGUCGGCAGGUUCCUCCGUCGCCACUCCGGGCUCCUCCACCCCGUCCCCUCCGACGGGCUCCAACGGCUCUCUCCGUCCAUUCCCUCGCCCCCGCACUGGCCAUCGAGCUCCAGGCCGACUCCAACAGUGCCGUGCAAUGGGAGAAAUUGACAAUGGGAUGCCUCAAAUUGGCAAGAGGUUUAGAAAUCCGGAUGAAGCUUGGCUGUUUUGGGUUGCAUAUGGAGGCCGUGUUGGGUUUGAUGUGAGGAAGAGAAACAAGCAUGUAAGUAAGAUGGAUGGUCAAGUGACUUCAUGCACAUUUCUUUGCUCCAAUGAGGGUAUACGAAAGAAAGGGAUAACAAUAGAUCAUGAGCCAAAACAUGUUCGAGCUGAAACAAGGACAAAUUGCAAAGCUCGCAUGAUUAUAUCAUUGGACGGAGUGCAAAGAAAUUACGAAGUCACAGAUAUUGUGUUGGAACACAAUCAUUGCCUUCAAUUGCCACAAACAUGUCACUUGAUGGCAUCACAAAGUAAGAUUUCCGAACUACAAGCUUUUGAAAUAGAAGCUGCCGAGGAUUCAGGAAUAAUGCCCCAAGCUGCACAUGAGUUUGCUUGUCGCCAAGUUGGUGGACCAUUUAACCUGGGCUACACUUGUCGUGAUCAAAAGAAUUAUUUGCGAACCAAGGACAAACAGAGUCAGGCUGGUAGUAUGUUGAAGUAUGUUCAUGACAAAAUGAUCGAGAACCCAUCUUUCCAAUAUGCUUUGCAGCUGGAUUGUGAGAAAGAUAUAGCCAACAUAUUUUGAGCUGAUGCUAAAAUGCUUCUUGACUAUGCACACUUUGGUGACGUUGUCACAUUUGAUACAACUUUUGGCACAAACAAAGAAUAUAGGCCAUUUGGUGUUUUUCUUGGGCUCAAUCAGUUUAGAGAAACCACCAUUUUUUGCGCGGCAUUGCUAUUUGAUGAAACAUUUGAGUCAUUUAAAUGGCUUUUUGACACUUUUUUAGCUGCACAUAAUGGGAGCCAAUCUAGAACUAUUUAUACGGAUCAAGAUGCGGCCAGGGGAAAGCUAUAGAUAAUGUCUUCACGGAAUCAUAUCAUGGAUUGUGCACCUUUCGUAUAAUGCAGAAUGUUGUUAAGCA